GGCAGUAUGGCAUAGUGGUUAUGCCUACAAGCUUUGAAAUCUUACUCCAAGUUCAAAUCUUGUUUUUGCCA
rnacentral:tRNA from 1 species